rnacentral:rRNA from 1 species
UGAGUUUGAUCAUGGCUCAGGAUGAACGCUGGCGGCGUGCUUAACACAUGCAAGUCGAACGAACCUUCGGGUUAGUGGCGGACGGGUGAGUAACGCGUGAGAAUCUGCCCUCAGGAGGGGGAUAACGGUUGGAAACGACCGCUAAUACCCCAUAUGCCUACUGGUGAAAUGAAUUUNNCCUGAGGAUGAGCUCGCGUCUGAUUAGCUUGUUGGUGAGGUAAUGGCUCACCAAGGCUUCGAUCAGUNNNUGGUCUGAGAGGAUGAUCAGCCACACUGGGACUGAGACACGGCCCNNNCUCCUACGGGAGGCAGCAGUGGGGAAUUUUCCGCAAUGGGCGAAAGCCUGACGGAGCAACGCCGCGUGAGGGANNAAGGCCUCUGGGCUGUAAACCUCUUUUCUCAAGGAAGAAGAUAUGACGGUACUUGAGGAAUAAGCCACGGCUAAUUCCGUGCC